GGCAAGAUGGCCGAGUGGUUAUGGCGUGUGACUCAAGGAUUCUUUCCUUACUCGGCUUAGCUGAGGAGUAUUCUCAUGGGCUCUGCCCGCGGGGGUUCGAAUCCCCCUCUUGUCA
rnacentral:tRNA from 1 species